AGAGUUUGAUCCUGGCUCAGGAUGAACGCUAGCUACAGGCUUAACACAUGCAAGUCGAGGGGAAACGAUAUUGGAAGCUUGCUUCCGAUAGGCGUCGACCGGCGCACGGGUGAGUAACGCGUAUCCAACCUGCCCACCACUUGGGGAUAGCCUUUCGAAAGAAAGAUUAAUACCCGAUGGUAUAAUCAGACCGCAUGGUCUUGUUAUUAAAGAAUUUCGGUUAUCGAUGGGGAUGCGUUCCAUUAGGCAGUUGGUGAGGUAACGGCUCACCAAACCUUCGAUGGAUAGGGGUUCUGAGAGGAAGGUCCCCCACAUUGGAACUGAGACACGGUCCAAACUCCUACGGGAGGCAGCA
rnacentral:rRNA from 1 species